UUAAGUAAAGAUUUUAAGGGCGUACGGCGGAUGCCUUGGCGAUAUCAGCCGAAGAAGGACGCGGUAAGCUGCGAUAAGCUACGGAGAGGUGCAAGCAACCUUUGACCCGUAGAUUUCCGAAUGGGGGAACCCGGCAGUGGUUAUGCACUGUCACCCAUACCUUUGAGUAUGAGGAGGGCACCUGGGG
rnacentral:rRNA from 1 species